AGGAGAUCCUAUUUUGGAUGAGGAAUUUCAGCGACUUAAAACAGAAGUUAGCCAUAAACGGGUUGUUCGCAAUCAAGAAGAGAAAAUCAAGGAAUUUCAUCCUACUUUUGAUCCACUCAUUAAUAACACUUGGCUCAGCAGGUCCAGGGCACAAAAACGGUUUCAACAAGUAGCACGCAAGGUCAUGAUUCAGGGACGAUUAUUCAAUAUGCUGAGUGCUGUUCGUGAAAUGGACAAAGAGAGUAUACUGAGAAAGAUUGGCCAAGCAAAACAAUCGAUAGCACAAGGUGAAGUAUGGCUGCAAAGCACAGAGAUGCCGAGACUGAUCAUGCCUCUGAGCGUGAACUUUCCUUAGAAUGAAGUUAGCUCUAUGCAAAUAAAAAAUUUUCACCAGUCACAAA
rnacentral:lncRNA from 1 species